rnacentral:rRNA from 1 species
UACGUAGGGCGCAAGCGUUAUCCGGAAUUAUUGGGCGUAAAGAGUUCGUAGGCGGUUUGUCGCGUCUGCCGUGAAAGUCCGGGGCUCAACUCCGGAUCUGCGGUGGGUACGGGCAGACUAGAGUGAUGUAGGGGAGACUGGAAUUCCUGGUGUAGCGGUGAAAUGCGCAGAUAUCAGGAGGAACACCGAUGGCGAAGGCAGGUCUCUGGGCCACUACUGACGCUGAGAAGCGAAAGCAUGGGGAGCGAACAGG